GUUAAGAACAUGCAUCAGAGAUGAUCCUACUGCAUUUCUUCAGAAAAUCGGCCCACACACCUGCAAAUGAACAGAUGAGAGAGAGAGACAGAGAGAGAGAGAGACAGAGACAGAGAGAGAGCUGAAUAUCCUUGAGAGCCUUUCUUAAUUUCUUCGUGCUCCAUCUGUUGAAAUGAUAAAGUGCAGCCAUAAUGGAACACAACCAGAUUAAAUUAAUCAGUGAUGUCAAAGGAUCCGGUUGCACAGACCACCCCUGUCUGGACGACGGCUAAAGGAACACAACACCUUCCACAUGAGUAUCAUAUCCCUGGAUCACUUGGAGCUGGACUGGAUUGUGUCACCGCCAGGGGACCAGGAUACACGGAAGUGUGCUUAACGGGAGGCAAUCCCAGCCUAGAGCACAAAGCUCCCACCACCCUUUAAACACGGGAACUACGGCUCUGUCAUGCAGAAAAUGUCAGGCGCUCUAUUCUCAACUCCUCUAUAACCUUUUGAUUUAUGCUAUAUGUUAAAAGAGAACAAUUCACUGAUGUUUUCUUUGUGCACAGACACUGUUCCGGAUAGUCUAGAGGCAGGUUUGGUGAUACCUCUGCAGGAACCAUGCUGUUCUUUCAGAACUGGAACCACAUCUGUUUUUUGUGAUAUCUGGUCGGUUUUUAGGUCUGAACUUAUAGUUAUUGUGGCUAAAAUGAAGAAUUACCAUAGCCAAUCAGACAAUACACUUUAUUACAUUAUAUGGUGCAUUUCAUUUAGGUAAAACAGGUGUUUUGAGUUAGAAUCCUAUCAAGUUACGGGGAAAGUGAAAUAACCUGCACCUGGAGAAAGUACAUUGUUUCUUUUGAUACAAAAAGGCGGAGGCACACUUUUGGUCUUAAUACCCCUUUUUUUCUUCAUCCUUUUUACAGAGGACAACGCGAUUUACAAUACCUGGAGAGGAGCCCGGGUAACUGGAGUGGUUGAGGGUUGGUGUGCCCAGUGGAGGCACUAUUCACAUUCAGUUCAUUCCAGUCAGCAUGACAACCCAACAACAAGUCAAUCAAUCACCUGUUGCGUGCCAGUCUCGCAGUCUCUGUGCUUUAAAAGCAACAGUACACCUGGUGGAGGCACAGACAAGAGACACGACUGGCUUGUUUCUCAUCAGAGUCAUCAGAGCUUUUGCACUGGACAUACCUCCAGACACAGCAAACACACGUGAAUACAAAUUCCCUGAAAAUGAGAAAGGGACAAUUCUGUAAGUGAAAUUAAAUUGGUAAUUUACAAUCUACUUUACUUCUGA